CACGUAGUUAGCCGGGGCUUCUUAGUCAGGUACCGUCAUCUUCUUCCCUGCUGAUAGAGCUUUACAUACCGAAAUACUUCUUCACUCACGCGGCGUCGCUGCAUCGGGGUUUCCCCCAUUGUGCAAUAUUCCCCACUGCUGCCUCCCGUAGGAGUUUGGGCCGUGUCUCAGUCCCAAUGUGGCCGGUCACUCUCUCAAGCCGGCUACUGAUCGCUGCCUUGGUAGGCCGUUACCCUGCCAACUAGCUAAUCAGACGCGGGCCCAUCCUGUACCACCGGAGUUUUUCACACCGUGCCAUGCGGCACUGUGCGCUUAUGCGGUAUUAGCACCCAUUUCUGGGUGUUAUCCCCCGGUACAGGGCAGGUUGCCCACGCGUUACUCACCCGUCCGCCACUCAGUCAUACCCCUCUUCCGCCCGGAGGCUUCCGUGGUGUAUGCUUCGUUCGACUUGCAUGUGUUAGGCACGCCGCCAGCGUUCAUCCUGAGCCAGGAUCAAACUCU
rnacentral:rRNA from 1 species